AAAGAAAGAUAGAACGAGAUAGACUUGAGUGAAUAAAUAUACCUUCAAGAAAAAGAUAGUUUUCCAUUAAAUCUUUGACUUCGGUGUUAGAAUAAUCAGUGUCUGUUCGGGUCGUGCAGUUCAAAGCUGGAGUAGGUAAUCUGUUUCAUAAACACUUUUUGUGAUAUUUCUUUAAAUUCUCUUAAUAUCCCAAUAGCAAUGAACGAAUUAAAUGCUCUGACAAUAAACAAAAAAAAAUCCGUCAGUCAGUCUGGGCUGUAAAAACUCCAGCCAAUCAGUACAUUCGGCCCAGAUGCAAUGAUUGGCUGGCCGACCUGUUUAUCAACCUCACUAGCUAGCCUGUGCAUACUCUGGCCGUGCACUUGCUGCUUACUGCUGCAUGACUGCUGCUUCCGUGUCAUACAAGCGACAGUCGCGGGUGAAGAAGAGGAUGAAGACGCACAGGAAUUUCAGCCAGUUCCACCCAAGGCUUUGACUUCAGCAGCAGCUUCAUUCAUAAAAGGAAGAAGGUAGCAGAAAAAGCUGCUACGAAAAUAAAAUUGGACAAUUCCAGAGGCCGAACAAGUGUCAACAUUGAUGUUGCUUUUCAACAAUGGCAACAACUGAGGAAAAAGAGGAGCUAAAAAGCGAUGCGAUGGUGGCUGUAUUUCUGUUAGACAGGCAUUGAUGAAACCACCACCCCUGCUCCACCAUUUCAUUGAUAUCGCUCCCACCGGACAGGUGCUGCCAUAGCAGAAGAAGAUUGCCACAGUGCCCACAUGACGCCACAUGCAGAGCCUGACCUGUCAGCAGACACUCCCCUCUGCCUAUAAUCAACAGUAAAUUAUGUAUUAUGUAUGUCAGAGAUACAUUGUGUAUAUAUCUUAUAUUGUUAAUAGUAUUUCAGUAAUGUUGUAUGUAUAUAUAUAUUUAGGUCCAUAAAAAUACAAUAAACAAAUUACAUACCA